rnacentral:rRNA from 1 species
GGAUUAGGCAUGCAAGUCGAACGAGGGAGCAUUCCGAAAGGGAUGCAAACCGAGUGGCGUAAGGGUGAGUAAUGCAUUGAUAACCUACCUCCAAGAUGGGAAUAACAACGUUCCAAGCAAUUGGGGCUACCGAAAGGGUUGCUAAUACUCAAUAAAAUUAUUGUUGCUUCGGCAAUAAUAGUCAAAUAGGCGGAAUCGAAAGGUUCCGCUUGCUUGAAGAGGGGUCAAUGUCCUAUCGGCUAGUUGGUGGGGUAAUAGCCCACCAAGGCGAAGACGGGUAGCCGGCCUGAGAGGGUGGUCGGCCACACUGGGACUGAGAUACUGCCCAGACUCCUACGGGAGGCUGCAGUCGAGAAUCUUUCGCAAUGCCCGAAAGGGUGACGAAGCGACGCCGCGUGCGGGAGGAAGGCCUUCGGGUUGUAAACCGCUGUCGGGAGUUAAGAAAUGCAAGGAUGUUAAUAGCGUUCUUGCUUGACUAAGGCUCCGGAGGAAGCCACGGCUAACUCUGUGCCAGCAGCCGCGGUAAUACAGAGGCGGCAAGCGUUGUUCGGAAUUAUUGGGCGUAAAGAGCACGUAGGCGGCUGUGUAAGUCGGUUGUGAAAGCCUUCCGCUCAACGGAAGAACGGCAUCCGAUACUGCAUAGCUUGAGUGUGGGAGGGGAGAGUGGAACUUCUGGUGGAGCGGUGAAAUGCGUAGAUAUCAGAAGGAACACCGGCGGCGAAGGCGACUCUCUGGUCCAUAACUGACGCUGAGUGUGCGAAAGCUAGGGGAGCAAACGGGAUUAGAUACCCCGGUAGUCCUAGCCGUAAACGAUGGGCACUAAGUAGAGGGGUUUU